GAUGAAGAACGCAGCGAAAUGCGAUAAGUAAUGUGAAUCGCAGAAUUCAGUGAAUCAUCGAAUCUUUGAACGCACAUUGCGCCCGCCAGUAUUCUGGCGGGCAUGCCUGUCCGAGCGUCAUUUCAACCCUCGCGCCCAUCUGGGCUGCGGUGUUGGGGACCGGCCUGCCCCCCGGGGCGCGCCGCCCCCCAAAUUCAGUGGCGGUCUCGCUGCAGCCUCCCUUGCGUAGUAGCACACCUCGCACCGGAGCGCAGCGCGGCCACGCCGUAAAACCCCCGACCCCCAUGAGUUUGACCUCGGAUCAGGUAGGAAUACCCGCUGAACUUAAGCAUAUCAAUAAGCGGAGGA
rnacentral:misc_RNA from 1 species